UACGAAGUUGCAUACGAAGAUUUCUGCGACCGUUUUAUUAACGCUUUCGUACGUAAUUACUCUUCAAAAUGGGGAAGGAUCGGACGAAAAUGUAAACAAACCGUAGAUGCAAUCUUUUGAAAGAAAAGCUCAGUCAUCUGAGAUGCAGUGUUGCAGCACUGAAAAGCAUUGGGUGCCCAUCAUAGUGUUUCUCUUUGCCUGCAAUCAGGAUACAUUAACUGACCUUUGAACUGUGUUUUCCAACUUGGGAUUCAAACACAUGCCCUCUUGGGUAGGAGAAAGUCAGACAAACACCUGUG